UGUUCUGCUGACCCAGUCCAGGUCUUCUUCUGUUCUUGAUGCGUACUCGGUAGAUGCGGACGCCGGGGACCCUAGGUGGCCGUAGGAGCCGGCAGCGGCGGAACUCCCCUUUACCGAUCUGGGGGCACGUGUACACCAAAUCCAUCCGCCUCGCGCCCUCCUCCUCCUCCUCCUCCUGACUCAAGCCCCCAACUCGGCAUGAUCUCCGCCGGUACCCGUAUUGCCGCCGCCGCCGCCGGCCGCCGGAGAUGCCGCGCCGUCGCUGCACUCUCUGAGAAGAGAUCAGCGGUUUCUCUCCUUUAAGAAGCAUAUGCCGGAGGGCCUCCUCCAAGUCAAUGCCAACAGACAGAGACCUGAGGCAGCACUCCAACUUAGGCUGCUUGGAGCCCUUCUCUGACUUACUUUGAGGGGAGUGAUCAUGUGGGACUUGUUGCAUCUUACUUUGAUGCUGCCUUUGUUUGUUGCUCCAAUAUGGCAGUGCGGUGGUAUCAAGCAGAGAGGAUAUGCACCGUACUGACCCAGGAAACUGGGUUAGAUGGAUGUCACUGGCAAGAUACGCGAUGAUCCUGGCAGCCAGCUCCCUGAUCUCCGUGUCGCUGCUUCUCCACCCCAAGGGUCACGCCAGCAUUUCAAUCGGGUGUCGAAGAGGUACUCUACGAGCGAUGUGAUUCCCCACUCUUUCGGCAAGUUCCAUUCUUUACGGAGCGAAACCACAAUCCAUACCGCUGCGUGAUCAAUCAACCACCACGAGAAGAAGAGCACGCCUUGGCAAAUAACCAAAGUGUAAAAUAUGUCCAGUGCUGGCACCAGGUUCCUUUUGCUAUCAUCUAUCAGGGUGUCUCCAUAGUCGCGUUGCCCUAUGCGCCAUGCUGAGAGCAUGAUGCAGGCAACAGGCCCAAAAAUGUAAAUGGCAGUUGCAAUUAGGACCAUGAGCAGUGCUGGCAAGGAUAGUGCUUGGAGAAUGAGAUGGGCAACUUGUAUGGGCCCCAUCAGGAUACGAUUGAAUAUGGAAUCGCCAUUUAAAUUUUGCAUCAGUCUUUUAGGAUUUGCAAAUAUUUUGUCCAUAAGCUUGUUUGUUAGGUCCAACACAACUGGGAACAGGUUGUCCCCUGAGUCGUUGAAGAUCCUGGUGUGCAAUAGGAAAGGCAUAGUCAGUGUCCUAUUCACUCAUGCCUAAUUAAUGAGAGUACAAACUGAGUAAAUUUCACGAGGAAUACAUAUGUAGACACACUUUCACA